AACUUGAAUAAACCAACAAGGUGGGGGCGGUAGGAAGCACAACUAGUCUCCGUUUCCAAAGGGAAAAAGAACCCACCACCGUUCACCCUCUGUCCCCGGCAGCACCUGCCACGUCGGGAGCUUAAAGAAUAAUGGCUCAACUUUCGGACGCAAGGAGGGAGAAGACACAGAUAAUUUCCUGAGGAGUGCCUAAAAGGUCCUCUCCGCAAGGGACACAGCUCUGGGCCGUCUCUGUCCGUUGGAGCAUUCAGAGACCCUUCGAGGCGGCACAGUCCUGCAGCAGCCGGCCUCGGGCCUCCGCGAGGCAGACAGUGUUUACACCUGUCACGAGGGAGGUGGGAGCAGGAGGACGCCGGAGCGGAGCCCCAAACUUCUACACAGCGGCCGGGAGGGAACCCCGGCGCGCAGCUCGGGGCGGGUGGACGGCGAGAGGCAGGGCGGGCCACGGCGGCCGGGAGGGCACGGCUGGCUCUCCUCGGCCGAGCCUGGGAUGCCGAGCGCCGUGCCACUCGGCUUCGGGCGCUGCCAGCGGCGUUCCGCACCCGCGGAGAAGAGCAGAGCCCGCGCCGGAGCUCGCAGGCCCGCACGCGGGCCGACGCGGGCAGGCGCUCCAGGCCGGGGCGACUAGCCGGGCCGGGUCCUCCGCACCCCGGGAGCGCGGCGGCAGCACUCACCUGGCUCGUCCCGGGCGGCCGCGAUGGGCAUGGCUCGGCGGCCCGGGGAGGAACUGGCUCCCCGGGGAAGGACCGGUUACUCGGACGCUGAGCUGGUGAGGGCGGAAGGGGAGCUGUUCCCAGCCCUGUCAGCGGCGCGGCGCCAUGGACGCCCACCCGGAGUUUCAGCGCUGCCGCGGGACCCCCAUCCCACUACCCUCCGCCCUCUUCCGCCGCCGCCGCCGCCUCCGCCUCCUCCUCCUCCGCGGAGACCCCCGCCCACUCCACACACUCUCCCAUCAUGCAGCGGGGAACCGCUGCUGUCCAUACGUCACUUCCGGGCGCAGGUGGCUAGGUCGGGGCCGGGCGCUGGUGGGUGCCGGGGUGGGGGAGGACACUCCAGGGGAAUUAGUGUCACAGACUUCUUACUUCUGCGCAGGCGCCGUCGUGUGGAACGACGUUCGCCAUUUUGGUUGCGGGCAAACGGUCUUUUUUCCGUACUCACUGAAGUGUGGGCUGGGGACGUCCUCCCUCCCCUCCCGACCCUCUGAGGCAGCGCUCCGGGCCACAGACCUGAGCUUCUCUCCGCCCAGUACUUUCCCGAUGAGCCGGGGAGAGGGUUAAGUUCCGCCUUGGAAUAAAACUGCAGACGUAUGGAAAUACGGAACCAGAUCUCUGCUGAAAAACCGGCUGGACAACAUUCAGCAGCUUGUCCUUUUUGCCCGGAAUAAAAGACUUUCAUUCCCUUCCCUUUUUAUGUAAGCCAACAAAAGAGGAAGCUGUUAUUUAACAAACGAGAAGUGAUUGUCCUACUUAAGACGAGAAGUCAGCAGGCAAACUAACAAAUGGUCUUCUACAAAAAUCAGUCCAGAAUUGUGUUGGUGUUUGGAGAAGAUGAUCAUUUUCAUACAUCUUUCCAAUCAACUUGUGCAUUUGAGCGAUUCUAUACAAUAGAGGUCAUAAGAGGUUUUUGUUUCCAUCGGUUCCUGAGCAAUUGGUCUUUUUUUAAUAACAUCUCCCCGUCCUUUAUUAUGACUCUGUUAGAAACCAUUCCACUGUAAAACUCAGACAAAGCUGCAGGAUUUUUAUUCCUGUCUCAGACGGUGAACCCUGGACUCUACCCUACAAACCCUGAGCCCUGCCGGGUUCUCUUUCUGCCCACGCUGAAUUAUUUAAAAUAGUUCCCAAACCGCAAAGCUCAGCAGUAACCGAAAGGAACAAGGACUGAAAACACCCGUCAUCUCAGAGAACUGUCUAGCCCUUUGACUGGAGGAAUUACACACGUUGAAAAAGAUAAGGACAAUAGCAAUUCAUCAUGGUUUAUCCUGCCUCUGCAAUGUUCUAGACAAAUUAACUUGAAGAACUAAAAUAGACCCUCAUUUGUCUCCUCACAAUUCAGUCAUUGCAAGAUAACAGAGACUGCAUUGCUGCUUUGUGGUUAUGCUGAAUAUUUUUGUUAUUGGCCAGUCACUGAAGUGAGAAAAAUCUAUAUGGCUUGUCAAAUUUAUUCCUUUUGUAUUUCGCCCCCUGCUGGUGUAGCUCGUGUGCAAAUUAAAAAAAAAAAGUAUGUCACUGUAAAACAUGUUUAUUGUCUGAGAAUGAAAGUAAAAAAAAAUGCGUGUAAAACUGAAAAUUAAUUUAUUUCAGACAAACAUAUGUUUGUUUUCACUUGAUAAAUCUACCAAAUAAGUACUGACUAAGAUCCGAAGGAAACGUUUGAAUGAUGAUUUUCAAAUAAUUUAAACCAAUCAAAAAUGUUUAAUAUAGUGAUUCUAAACAUUAAAAGGAAACCGUGCAGUUUGGGAAAGUAUCUUCCCGAUUUCACAAAUUAUAUGAUUACCAAAUGAUUAUCUUUGUUAGGUAAGUGAAGAGGCUAACUCUGUUUACUUAAUUUUUUUUUUUUUAAAUCCAUGGAAGCUGAGUAGCUAUUUGUUCAAAUGACUUGGGAGCACAAUCAACCUACCUGUAAUUGGAUACUCUUACAUGUGAUUAUGACAUUUGGCAUCAAGAAAAGAAAAACGCCUGACCACUUCUAAUUUUUUCUCCUAUUCAGCCUUGUUAAACAACUGAAAUCAUAAUAAAUAGUAAAGUUUAUACUUAUAUUA